AGGACCCAGCCAAAGUAUCACUGAGCCCGAGUUCCUUUGGGACCCAUAAAUCCUGAACCUCACUUAGUGUCACUUUUUCAGGUCAUUCUAUUCUGGUCAGCAGGGCUUGGUCUCCAGUUAACAUGACAAGGCUUGUUCUGUCUGGACACAGCUUCCUCAGAGACCCUUAACGAACUCUUGAAGGUGCUGCUGAGAGACUUAAAUGGGCGGCCAGGAGUGUUCAGCAAUGUCUAUCAUGUCUGUGUCAGCAAAUGCUGAGGCUUGGGGCUCUCACUGAGCUAGAGGGGAGAUGGCUAAUAGGAAAUACCAGGGAUUGAGAGCAACAUACAGGGGAAAAGAGUAAGAAAAACCCAGCUAGCUCAGUCCUGAGAUAUUUAGGAGGCUCAAGGCAAGCUGCCCAUCCUCCACAUUGGUCAGUGUGAUGCGUGAAGCUGGCUUGUGUGGUUUCUCAUUUCCUGGCCCAGGAUAUCUCUAGCUAAUGCCCUGAAUUCCCAGUGAGGGUCCAGUUCCCUGUUGGACUUUCCCAGAGCACCCUUUGUUGAUCUCCUUCAAAACCACCACAGUUGUCCUCAUGGAAGUGGGCUGUACAGUCUGUCCUAGGCUAUUCCAAUUCCCUCCCAGGUUAGACUGACCAGGCUGCAGCCUGUGGCUCUCUGGAAGGGCUGAGUUACAGAGCAGGUUUCCUGAAGCUGUACUUGUCAUUUGUCUCCCUUGGGGACAAGGGCUAUAUCUGACUGUAGAACAGCCUAGAGCUGGAUUGGACAAAAUGCCCUUGAAAAUGAUCUAUUGUUGGGAGAUAGAGAUGCUGGGUCAACACCACUAGCAGACAGGCUCAGGACAUGGCUUUCAUUAGGCUGUUAGCAUCGCCAACAGUGUAUCCGGCCCCUGCCGACCAUGACAGUGUGAAGCCUGACUAGGGAGAUAUAGAAGACCUGGGGCAGGGAUUUGUUCCUGUGACCAUCUGAUUGCUGCAGGCUGUACAUGGGUCCAGCCACUCAGCCCCAGAAGUAUGCAGUCAGUCCUCACCUGCUGGCUCAACUGCUCUGAUGCCUACACAUCCCUUCCUAGAACUCUGCAUGGCCCCUUGGUGUCCUAUAAGCCCUUCCUCUGUGAGCGCUACAAGUCCUUCCCCUUUGGACUCCUUCAUAAGCCCAUCUCUUUCUGCUCUCCCUAGGCCAUGUCAUGAUACCUGUAGCUGAAAUGGUGUUCCUUACUAGCAAGUACAUCAUGUACUGUGAAAAGCGCCUAGUAUAUCUAUAUACCUCUUGUAUAGUUUUAUGACUUUUAGAGAAACCUUUUCUUCCCUCUAUUCCAGUUACAACAACAUAAUCAGGGUCAUAAGAGAGGAAAACUCCCAUUUAAAUCUGAAAGAUACCCAAGCAUGAUGGCACAAGCUUGUAAAUCUUGAAAGUCCAGAAGCCAGGACAGGAGGAUCGCCCUGAAUUCAUUGCCAGCCUGGGAAACAUACAACAGAAGAAAGUGAGUAGAGCGCUUGCCUUCAUGAAGCCAAAGUAGACAAGCAGUCGAGGAUAUGAAAGCAGUCAUAUGAUUACAAGAAUGAACCAGGAUUCCCUCACCGAGAGAAGCUAUACAAUCACUGACUUUUGAAGAUAGAGAGGACAUCGACUGGACAGGACCACCAAAUAAAGAGCACAUCACUGAUGAAGACAGACUGGCAUUGUGAGAUAAACAGAGUGAGGGUACCGUGAGCAGCCAGUGCACUCGGAUGACUCCUGUGGUGGAUGAUUGAGGUGUGGAUUUCACUGAGCUGAGGAAAUUGGGUUCAUUUUUCCUGGGUGGUCUGAGAGGCUUCUCAAGAAAAAACCAACAUCUGACCUGGUGACAGUCUGCAGCAGAUCUGCCUUACCCUGACAAGGGGCCAUCAACAAUCCAUGGACAUCCUGGGUGGAGCAGAGCCCACACAGAGCAAGAGGCCUGGUCUGGCUUCAGGUGGAACACACAUCUCUUGUCCUCAGACUCACUCAAGUUUCUUGCAUUUGGAAUUCUGGCCCUUAUUCCAGAGAUGCCUCCAAUCUUUGACUCAGGACCACAGCGCACACCUCAGGCUCCCCAUGGUCUCAGGCAUGUGAUUUACAGCUGUUCUGGGUGUCUAGUCUGCACACAGCAUACCAUGGGAUGUUGCAGGUCCCCAGCAUCAUAAACCAAAUUCUUAAACAAAUCCCCUCCCACAUAUCGUUCAGGCUCCACAAACCAGGACACACUGUAAGACACCUGAGUAGAAUAGAUGUACAGCUCAAAACAGCAGCCAAGCUGCUAUGUCUAAGUAGAAACAUGCUCAACUCUUAUUGAAAGGAAAAUACUGUAAGAUUGGCUAGUACGUUAUCAUAAUUUGCCAUAGUAAUUCUGAUCAAGCUCAGUGACAUUGAACACUGAGUGCCUGGGAUCAGGAGAUGCUCAGCCAGGAAAGUGCUUAGGCAUGUAUGCUGAUGUGUGCCAGGGAAGCUGAGACAUAGGUCCCUGGGGCUCAGUGGUCAGCAGGCUAGGCUAUUUGGUGAGUUCCUGGACAGUGAGAAACUUUGUCUCAAAAAAUAAAAACAAAACAAGAUAAACAAUACCUAAGAAAUGACACCUGAGUUUGGCCUUUGACCUCUCUACAUGCAUGUGUGCAUGCAACAUGUACAUAUGCAGUAAGCAUGCAUUCACUUCCAAGCCAUGUUCCAGCAGGGUUCAACAGGUUUGGAUGGGAGUCUCCUUUGCCAAGGACCUGUUUGAGGAAUACCCUUAAGUCAGGACUUAGAGCAGCCAGCCGCCCAGCUUUCCAUGAAAUCAUGACAGGUUUGGACUGGAACUGCAUUCAGUCUGUGCUGGAUGGGAGAGCCAAACUCUGCCAAUUCUGCCCCUAUUCUGAGGCAUACCUAAGACAGCCCAUAGAAAGGCUUGAUAAAGAUAUGGGCACUCACACACAGGCAAAGAUGGGGCAGGGGCAUGGGCAGGAGUUUCAUCUUGGUGUCUAAUGAUGUAACUAGCGGCCUCAAAAACAAGAUGCAAAAUCACCUGUUUUAAAGUACAAAUUCCCAAUGAAUUUAACAAUAUCAUUUAGAGCCAUGUAGGUAUCCAGUAAUUCAGUGGCCACCUUCAAAAAGCAGAACUCAUGGCGUCACUGCAAGGUCCUGUCAGGCCAUCAAGCCUACACUUCAGGCACAUACACACGUGUGUGUGUGUAUGUGUGUGUGUGUGUGUGUGUGUGUGUGUGUGUGUGUGUAUGCAAACACGUAUCACACAGUUAUCCCUGGCGUGAACCAGCUGGCACUUACCAGACAUACCCCAGGGGCACAUCUGUCUAUGUCUAUCAGUGACAUAGACAGAGGCCAGCCUCAGACUUUAGCCUUUGGACAGGGCCAACUAGCCUCGGCAGCAAGAAAAACUCCCCCUGCUGGCUUGCUGUGCAAACUCCUGCUCAGAAUGCCAGUGGGCAAGGGUUCAAUUCCAGACUUAAAACAGCUGAUGUGCUCACUCACAAAACACCACCUCAGGGGAAGAAAACUCCCUCUUUUCCACCAGAGACUCCUGUGCCUGUGAUGAACCUGUCUGUCCUGUCUCCAGACAUCGGUGAGCCUCCAAUCAGUAGUAUAGUCAUUUGCAUUUUUAUGUUGUAUGUAAAUAAAUUCAUGGGAUGUGUUCUCUCUCCUGGCCGUGUCCCCCCUUGCUAUGGAGCUGUAAAGACUGACUUGUCUGUGUGUUCAGUAUUUCAUUGCAAGGGUUUACAUGUGUUUAUCAAAGCCCACACAGCAUAAAUCCACAGAGCCCAGAAGUUCAGAGAACUGCGAGCAAAAAAUUCACAAAACACCAUCAGCACAGCAGCAUCAUACAAGGAACUGAGACAGAACACGGUGGCUUGGCACAAGCCAUGAGAAGCUCCAGCAGGGUUAAAUGAGAAAUAAAUGUCAGCAGAGAACCCUGAAAGAAGCCUUUGCAGACACCAAAGGUGAGCCUGCCUGUCCAGGCAGAGUUGCGACCUCAAAGUGAAAAACAACAAGUGCCUGAGACAGCCAGGCUCACAGUGUACACAGAGCUUCCUAGGAGCUGCAUAGCAACCAUAGAAGCCUCUGUAUUAAAGGUCUCUCCAAGGAGCAAAGCCAACGCUUUAAAUAAAGAUUACACACCAAACAUUUCUGGACGUAGAUAGGAGCCGCUGGGAUUGUACAAGGAUAAGUAAGGCUGGAGGGGGUGGGCCAUAGUAGAUGAUGGAGAGAUGGUGGUGGUGGGUGGAGGGAAGGGAUGGUGAUGGUAGACGUGUGGGCAGUGGGAGUAGUGGGGACGUGGAAGGUAAAGUGACUGUAAAAUGUUGAUGGCCUACAGCCAGGGAACUGACCUCUUAACUGUCAAGACUGCAAGUUUUAUGGUAUUUACACUGUAUCCCAAUCAACAAGAAACAUAAUAACAAAGAGUUUCAAGCCUUAGGAAGUUUUGGGUUCCUGCUGCUCAAGGCUAUCAGUUCUCAGCUUUAUGCUCCGGCUGUCAUAUCUGCUACCUGCUGCCAUGCUUUCCCCACCAUGAUGGGCUCUAACUGCCUGGAUCCAUAAACCCAAAUAAACUUCCU